rnacentral:rRNA from 1 species
UGGGGAAUUUUGGACAAUGGGCGCAAGCCUGAUCCAGCCAUGCCGCGUGCGGGAAGAAGGCCUUCGGGUUGUAAACCGCUUUUGUCAGGGAAGAAAUCUUCUGAGUUAAUACCUCGGGAGGAUGACGGUACCUGAAGAAUAAGCACCGGCUAACUACGUGCCAGCAGCCGCGGUAAUACGUAGGGUGCAAGCGUUAAUCGGAAUACUGGGCGUAAAGCGUGCGCAGGCGGUUUUGUAAGACAGAGGUGAAAUCCCCGGGCUCAACCUGGGAACUGCCUUUGUGACUGCAAGGCUUGAGUGCGGCAGAGGGGGAUGGAAUUCCGCGUGUAGCAGUGAAAUGCGUAGAUAUGCGGAGGAACACCGAUGGCGAAGGCAAUCCCCUGGGCCUGCACUGACGCUCAUGCACGAAAGCGUGGGGAGCAAACAGGAUUAGAUACCCUGGUAGUCCACGCCCUAAACGAUGUCAACUGGUUGUUGGGAAGGUUCCUUCUCAGUAACGUAGCUAACGCGUGAA